rnacentral:rRNA from 1 species
UUAAUCUCUAGAAAGACCGGGCGGUAUAUCUCCCAAAACUAAACGGUAAAACUGCGUAGUAAAGCAGGAGGACUCACGGGUGAUGAAGGCCGACCCCCUAGACGACGAUUGACCCUCAGGUGAGAAAGCUUGGGGAGCAAGCAGGAUUUGAUCCCCUGGUAGUCCACGCAGUAAACGACGUCGACUUGGAGGUUGUGCCCUUGAGGCGUGGCUUCCGGAGCUAACGCGUUAAGUCGACCGCCUGGGGAGUACGGCCGCAAGGUUAAAACUCAAAUGAAUUGACGGGGGCCCGCACAAGCGGUGGAGCAUGUGGUUUAAUUCGAUGCAACGCGAAGAACCUUACCUGGUCUUGACAUCCACGGAAGUUUUCAGAGAUGAGAAUGUGCCUUCGGGAACCGUGAGACAGGUGCUGCAUGGCUGUCGUCAGCUCGUGUUGUGAAAUGUUGGGUUAAGUCCCGCAACGAGCGCAACCCUUAUCCUUUGUUGCCAGCGGUCCGGCCGGGAACUCAAAGGAGACUGCCAGUGAUAAACUGGAGGAAGGUGGGGAUGACGUCAAGUCAUCAUGGCCCUUACGACCAGGGCUACACACGUGCUACAAUGGCGCAUACAAAGAGAAGCGACCUCGCGAGAGCAAGCGGACCUCAUAAAGUGCGUCGUAGUCCGGAUUGGAGUCUGCAACUCGACUCCAUGAAGUCGGAAUCGCUAGUAAUCGUGGAUCAGAAUGCCACGGUGAAUACGUUCCCGGGCCUUGUACACACCGCCCGUCACACCAUGGGAGUGGGUUGCAAAAGAAGUAGGUAGCUUAACCUUCGGGAGGGCGCUACCACUUUGAUCAGGG